rnacentral:rRNA from 1 species
GGGACACGUGGUAUCCUGUCUGAAUAUGGGGGGACCAUCCUCCAAGGCUAAAUACUCCUGACUGACCGAUAGUGAACCAGUACCGUGAGGGAAAGGCGAAAAGAACCCCGGCGAGGGGAGUGAAAAAGAACCUGAAACCGUGUACGUACAAGCAGUGGGAGCACAGAGCAAUCUGUGUGACUGCGUACCUUUUGUAUAAUGGGUCAGCGACUUAUAUUCUGUAGCAAGGUUAACCGAAUAGGGGAGCCGAAGGGAAACCGAGUCUUAACUGGGCGUUAAGUUGCAGGGUAUAGACCCGAAACCCGGUGAUCUAGCCAUGGGCAGGUUGAAGGUUGGGUAACACUAACUGGAGGACCGAACCGACUAAUGUUGAAAAAUUAGCGGAUGACUUGUGGCUGGGGGUGAAAGGCCAAUCAAACCGGGAGAUAGCUGGUUCUCCCCGAAAGCUAUUUAGGUAGCGCCUCGUGAAUUCAUCUCCGGGGGUAGAGCACUGUUUCGGCAAGGGGGUCAUCCCGACUUACCAACCCGAUGCAAACUGCGAAUACCGGAGAAUGUUAUCACGGGAGACACACGGCGGGUGCUAACGUCCGUCGUGAAGAGGGAAACAACCCAGACCGCCAGCUAAGGUCCCAAAGUCAUGGUUAAGUGGGAAACGAUGUGGGAAGGCCCAGACAGCCAGGAUGUUGGCUUAGAAGCAGCCAUCAUUUAAAGAAAGCGUAAUAGCUCACUGGUCGAGUCGGCCUGCGCGGAAGAUGUAACGGGGCUAAACCAUGCACCGAAGCUGCGGCAGCGACGCUUAUGCGUUGUUGGGUA